rnacentral:rRNA from 1 species
AAUCUUGCGCAAUGGCCGAAAGGCUGACGCAGCGACGCCGCGUGCGGGAGGAAGCCCCUCGGGGUGUAAACCGCUGUCAGGGGGGACGAACCCCCAGCAUGGGAAUACUGUGCUGGGCUGACGGUACCCCCAGAGGAAGCGCCGGCUAACUCCGUGCCAGCAGCCGCGGUAAUACGUAGGGGGCAAGCGUUGUCCGGAAUUAUUGGGCGUAAAGGGUGCGUAGGCGGCCCUUUAAGUCAGAUGUGAAAGCCCACGGCUUAACCGUGGGACUGCAUUUGAAACUGGAGGGCUUGAGUGUCGGAGAGGGCAGUGGAAUUCCCAGUGUAGCGGUGGAAUGCGUAGAUAUUGGGAGGAACACCAGUGGCGAAGGCGACUGCCUGGACGAUAACUGACGCUGAGGCACGAAAGCUAGGGGAGCAAAC